AGAGUUUGAUCCUGGCUCAGGAUGAACGCUAGCGGGAGGCUUAACACAUGCAAGUCGAGGGGUAAGGCUUUCUUCGGAAAGUACACGACCGGCGCACGGGUGAGUAACGCGUAUGCAACCUACCUUUUACAGGAGGAUAGCCCGAAGAAAUUCGGAUUAAUACUCCAUAGUUUUAUUUAAUCGCAUGAUUUGAAUAAAUAAAGUUCCGGCGGUAAAAGAUGGGCAUGCGUGCCAUUAGUUUGUUGGUGAGGUAACGGCUCACCAAGACUACGAUGGUUAUGGGGUCUUAAAGGAUGAUCCCACACACUGGUACUGAGACACGGACCAGACUCCUACGGGAGGCAGCAGUGAGGAAUAUUGGUCAAUGGGCGCAAGCCUGAACCAGCCAUCCCGCGUGAAGGAUGACAGUCCUAGAGAUUGUAAACUUCUUUUAUAUAGGAAGAAUAAGAGCUACGUGUAGUUCGAUGACUGUACUAUAUGAAUAAGCACCGGCUAACUCCGUGCCAGCAGCCGCGGUAAUACGGAGGGUGCAAGCGUUAUCCGGAUUUAUUAGGUUUAAAGGGUGCGUAGGCGGAAGCUUAAGUCAGUGGUAAAAGGCAGUAGCUUAACUAUUGUAAGCCAUUGAAACUGGGUUUCUUGAGUUCGGUAGAGGUAGGCGGAAUGUGUUGUGUAGCGGUGAAAUGCAUAGAUAUAACACAGAACACCGAUUGCGAAGGCAGCUUACUAUGCCGUUACUGACGCUAAGGCACGAAAGCGUGGGUAUCAAACAGGAUUAGAUACCCUGGUAGUCCACGCUGUAAACGAUGAUUACUCGUUGUUGGCAAUACAUCGUCAGCGACUGAGCGAAAGCAUUAAGUAAUCCACCUGGGGAGUACGUUCGCAAGAAUGAAACUCAAAGGAAUUGACGGGGGCCCGCACAAGCGGAGGAACAUGUGGUUUAAUUCGAUGAUACGCGAGGAACCUUACCUGGGCUUAAAUGUAGAGUGCAUUAUUUGGAAACAGAUAUUUUCUUCGGAACUCUUUACAAGGUGCUGCAUGGUUGUCGUCAGCUCGUGCCGUGAGGUGUCGGGUUAAGUCCCAUAACGAGCGCAACCCUCAUCGCCAGUUGCCAUCACGUAAAGGUGGGGACUCUGGUGAAACUGCCGGUGUAAACCGAGAGGAAGGUGGGGAUGACGUCAAAUCAGCACGGCCCUUAUGUCCAGGGCUACACACGUGUUACAAUGGCCGAUACAAAGGGCAGCUACCUGGUGACAGGAAGCUAAUCUCCAAAGUCGGUCUCAGUUCGGAUCGGAGUCUGCAACUCGACUCCGUGAAGCUGGAUUCGCUAGUAAUCGUAUAUCAGCAAUGAUACGGUGAAUACGUUCCCGGGCCUUGUACACACCGCCCGUCAAGCCAUGGAAGUCGGGGGUGCCUGAAGUCCGUAACCGCAAGGAUCGGCCUAGGGUAAAACCGAUGACUGGGGCUAAGUCGUAACAAGGUAGCCGUACCGGAAGGUGUGGCUG
rnacentral:rRNA from 1 species